CGGACUACUUCGUGCUGGUGGCGUUCGGGCCGCACCCGCGCGGGAGUGGGGAAGGCCAGGGCCAGAUUCUGCAGCGCUUCCCAGAGAAGGACUGGGAGGACAACCCAUUCCCCCAGGGCAUCGAGCUGUUUUGCCAGCCCAGCGGGUGGCAGCUGUGUCCCGAGAGGAAUCCACCGACCUUCUUUGUUGCUGUCCUCACCGACAUCAACUCCGAGCGCCACUACUGCGCCUGCUUGACCUUCUGGGAGCCAGCGGAGCCUUCACAGCAGGAAACGACGCGCGUGGAGGAUGCCACAGAGAGGGAGGAAGAGGGGGAUGAGGGAGGCCAGACCCACCUGUCUCCCACAGCACCUGCCCCAUCUGCCCAGCUGUUUGCACCGAAGACGCUGGUACUGGUGUCGCGACUCGACCACACGGAGGUGUUCAGGAACAGCCUUGGCCUCAUCUAUGCCAUCCACGUGGAGGGCCUGAAUGUGUGCCUGGAGAACGUGAUUGGGAACCUGCUGACGUGCACUGUGCCCCUGGCUGGGGGCUCGCAGGACGAUCUCUUUGGGGGCUGGUGACCGGCAGGUCAUCCAGACUCCACUGGCCGACUCGCUGCCCGUCAGCCGCUGCAGCGUGGCCCUGCUCUUCCGCCAGCUAGGCAUCACCAACGUGCUGUCUUUGUUCUGUGCCGCCCUCACGGAGCACAAGGUUCUCUUCCUGUCCCGGAGCUACCAGCGGCUCGCCGAUGCCUGUAGGGGCCUCCUGGCACUGCUGUUUCCUCUCAGAUACAGCUUCACCUAUGUGCCCAUCCUGCCGGCUCAGCUGCUGGAGGUCCUCAGCACACCCACGCCCUU
rnacentral:lncRNA from 1 species